CCUACGGGAGGCAGCAGUAGGGAAUCUUUCACAAUGGGCGAAAGCCUGAUGGAGCACCGCCGCGUGCAGGAUGAAGGACUUCGGGUUGUAAACUGCUUUUAUAAGCGAGAAAUAUGAUGGUAACUUAUGAAUAAGGAUCGGCUAACUACGUGCCAGCAGCCGCGGUCAUACGUAGGAUCCGAGCAUUAUCCGGAGUGACUGGGUGUAAAGAGUUGCGUAGGUGGCAUAAUAAGUAGCUAGUGAAAUCUGGUGGCUCAACCAUUCAGACUAUUAGCUAAACUGUUAAGCUCGAGACCGUUAGGUGUAACUGGAAUUUCUAGUGUAGGAGUGAAAUCCGUAGAUAUUAGAAGGAACACCAAUAGCGUAGGCAGGUUGCUGGGACGGUUCUGACACUAAGGCACGAAAGCGUAGGGAGCAAACGGGAUUAGAUACCCUUGUAGUC
rnacentral:rRNA from 1 species